UACGGAGGGAGCUAGCGUUGUUCGGAAUUACUGGGCGUAAAGCGCGCGUAGGCGGCUUUGUAAGUUAGAGGUGAAAGCCCGGGGCUCAACCCCGGAACUGCCUUUAAAACUGCAUCGCUUGAAUCCAGGAGAGGUGAGUGGAAUUCCGAGUGUAGAGGUGAAAUUCGUAGAUAUUCGGAAGAACACCGGUGGCGAAGGCGGCGACCUGGUCCGUGACUGACGCUGAGGCGCGAAAGCGUGGGGAGCAAACAGG
rnacentral:rRNA from 1 species